AGAGUUUGAUCAUGGCUCAGGAUGAACGCUAGCGGCAGGCUUAAUACAUGCAAGUCGAGGGGCAGCACGAUAGCAAUAUUGGUGGCGACCGGCGCACGGGUGCGUAACACGUAUACAAUCUGCCCUUAACAGGGGGAUAGCCCGGAGAAAUCCGGAUUAAUACCCCAUAAUACUAGAUGUGGCAUCACAUAAAGUUAAAA
rnacentral:rRNA from 1 species